AAAGAGUGUAGUUUUACACUGUUCAUGUGUAAUGUUUAGAUCGUUCGUCUUAUUUGAAAUUCUUUUAUGAUUAGUAUUUUUAUUGUUAUUAUAUGAUAAAACAUGAAUUGUACUUUAUGUGUGACUAUUUUUAUAAUAUUUUUAUAAAAUUUUCAAAUAAGAUGAACGAUCAAACGUUGGAUACGGAAACCUAUGACUCCACUUAAA
rfam:Oryza punctata chromosome 3, whole genome shotgun sequence.